AAGUCAUGAUGAGGACAUUGGUUAAUGUAACCCAUGAAACGCUCCAAUGCUUCACAGAAGCUUUCACCAGUCUUCUGUGAAAAACCAGAGAUCUCAUUUUUGAGUCU
rfam:Arabidopsis thaliana chromosome 2, complete sequence.